AAUAUUAUGGGCUAAUAUCAGGUUUGUUUGUUCAAGCCCAUUUGUUUGUCUGUCAAGCACAUGACGUCUUUUAUUCUAGCCGCCUCCGAUUAGAUUCUUGUAACGCCUUCUCUUUCCCAUUAAUUUUCUCCUUUAAUCAGACCAUUAACAUCGUCAUCCCACUUGCUGCAUUAUUAAUUCGAGCUCAGAGUCUUCGUUACCUAACCGAUUUGGUUUCGUCGAUCGACUGCGACUCGACUUGGGUUUGUGCUUUCAGUCCGUAAAAAAACAAGAGCUGAUCGGCAUCAUUUAUUCAGUAUUGGGGAGGUGAAAUCCAAUCCCUUCGCUUCGCGCCAGGCUUAGCAACGCAAGAGGAGAAACAGGCCCGGUUCACCAUAAUGUAGACCUGAGAACGUAGGCAAUUGUAGAAAAUUGAUUCUUUCUCUUUGAGUAAAGUCAUGGCUUCUCAAGCAUGCCUCCUUUAUUCCUCCCAGCAUGCCUCACAUCUCUCUUGCAAUAUGUGGCUAUCUGACGGCUCUUUGUUCAAUCGCAAAUACCACUCAAGAAUCGUAUCUCAAGUGUGAACUAACACUCUAAUUUCUUUGCAGGUUUAACACAGUCAGAACUCAAAGCUGCAUGAAGGGAUGAGUGAAAGAAAAGGCAGUGCCUCUCAAUGAUAUACGAAGGUAAAAACGGUCAGUUGACUAAAUAAGGAGAAUAUAUCCUCGAUUAAAUCGAAGCUCAUAUCAGAUGUGGUGUUUUACUGUUCAUCACCAUAAUUGAGGUUUGUGAAAAUUUUCUUUUAUUUUCAUAAGUCAGAAUCAGUUUUUUUUUUUGGUCGAAAGACAUUUCACGACUUUCAUAGCUCGAGAACAACUUUUUUCAAGCAAGGUGAUGACUCUGUAAAAAAAAUUCCAAGCUAUUUUCUUUUGACAACUAUACAUAAUUUUGGCUUAUUUCUUCCUGGUCAGAUUAGUAGAUAUCUCUAAUGCAGAAGCUUUGAUUUUUGUUAAGCAGUCAACAGGACAGUUGAUGCUCUAUGUUUCUUCAAAUGCCGAUGAUUUUUCUUACAAAGCAAUUAUAAGAAACAGAAAAACUUCCGUUAACUUGAACCAUUGGGUUUGGCUUUGCUAGGAACAAUAUCAUACAAUGAUGCUCUUUUCAUCAUUCCUGUUAAGAACUACUAGAUUCUCUUUCUCAGGAAGCGACUCUUUUUCUUCAGGGAUACAGCUUCUGCAUCGAAUGGAGCCUUUUAUUAAUCAUGUCUGAUGAUACAAAACUCUUUGUAGCAUGGUUUUCUGCCUCUAUGUAUCCGGUCCUCUCUUAUCUAAGAGAUAGCUCACGAAAUAUGUCUUUAAUUGAAAUCUCAUUGCAGAUGUUGGCUGAAGAACACUGGUGUAGUGAAUGUGCAAACUAUACGAUGGCGUCACUUAAUGAAAGGAUGUAGGAAUACCAAAGACAAGUUGACGGAGAAAUAUAAACUCAACUGAUUCUCUAGCAGGGGAUGGCAUGAGAAUACCUUUUGCACAUAAGCGUACUCAUAUCUUUAUACUGUUUCUGUCUUGCUCAUAUUUUAUACUAUUUUGUCUUAUAAAAUACAUUAUCUUAAAGAAAAAUAAACGAAACAUUGUUGUU